UGGUGGGUAGUUUGACUGGGGCGGUCUCCUCCUAAAGAGUAACGGAGGAGCACGAAGGUCAGCUAAUCCUGGUCGGACAUCAGGAGGUUAGUGCAAUGGCAUAAGCUGGCUUGACUGCGAGCGUGACGGCGCGAGCAGGUGCGAAAGCAGGUCAUAGUGAUCCGGUGGUUCUGAAUGGAAGGGCCAUCGCUCAACGGAUAAAAGGUACUCCGGGGAUAACAGGCUGAUACCGCCCAAGAGUUCAUAUCGACGGCGGUGUUUGGCACCUCGAUGUCGGCUCAUCACAUCCUGGGGCUGAAGUAGGUCCCAAGGGUAUGGCUGUUCGCCAUUUAAAGUGGUACGCGAGCUGGGUUUAGAACGUCGUGAGACAGUUCGGUCCCUAUCUGCCGUGGGCGCUGGAGAACUGAGGGGGGCUGCUCCUAGUACGAGAGGACCGGAGUGGACGCAUCACUGGUGUUCGGGUUGUCAUGCCAAUGGCACUGCCCGGUAGCUAAAUGCGGAAGAGAUAAGUGCUGAAAGCAUCUAAGCACGAAACUUGCCCCGAGAUGAGUUCUCCCUGACUCCUUGAGAGUCCUGAAGGAACGUUGAAGACGACGACGUUGAUAGGCCGGGUGUGUAAGCGCAGCGAUGCGUUGAGCUAACCGGUACUAAUGAACCGUGAGGC
rnacentral:rRNA from 1 species